rnacentral:rRNA from 1 species
UGGGGAAUAUUGCACAAUGGGCGAAAGCCUGAUGCAGCAACGCCGCGUGAGUGAUGAAGGUCUUCGGAUUGUAAAGCUCUGUCUUUUGGGACGAUAAUGACGGUACCAAAGGAGGAAGCCACGGCUAACUACGUGCCAGCAGCCGCGGUAAUACGUAGGUGGCGAGCGUUGUCCGGAUUUACCGGGCGUAAAGGGUGCGUAGGCGGAUGUUUAAGUGAGAUGUGAAAUACCCGGGCUUAACUUGGGUGCUGCAUUUCAAACUGGAUAUCUAGAGUGCAGGAGAGGAGAAUGGAAUUCCUAGUGUAGCGGUGAAAUGCGUAGAGAUUAGGAAGAACACCAGUGGCGAAGGCGAUUCUCUGGACUGUAACUGACGCUGAGGCACGAAAGCGUGGGUAGCAAACAGGAUUAGAUAC